rnacentral:rRNA from 1 species
AACACAUGCAAGUCGAGCGGUAACAGAUCCAGCUUGCUGGAUGCUGACGAGCGGCGGACGGGUGAGUAAUGCAUAGGAAUCUGCCCGAUAGUGGGGGAUAACCUGGGGAAACCCAGGCUAAUACCGCAUACGUCCUACGGGAGAAAGGGGGCUUCGGCUCCCGCUAUCGGAUGAGCCUAUGUCGGAUUAGCUAGUUGGUGAGGUAAAGGCUCACCAAGGCAACGAUCCGUAGCUGGUCUGAGAGGAUGAUCAGCCACAUCGGGACUGAGACACGGCCCGAACUCCUACGGGAGGCAGCAGUGGGGAAUAUUGGACAAUGGGGGCAACCCUGAUCCAGCCAUGCCGCGUGUGUGAAGAAGGCCCUCGGGUUGUAAAGCACUUUCAGCGAGGAAGAACGCCUAGCGGUUAAUACCCGCUAGGAAAGACAUCACUCGCAGAAGAAGCACCGGCUAACUCCGUGCCAGCAGCCGCGGUAAUACGGAGGGUGCAAGCGUUAAUCGGAAUUACUGGGCGUAAAGCGCGCGUAGGUGGCUUGAUAAGCCGGUUGUGAAAGCCCCGGGCUCAACCUGGGAACGGCAUCCGGAACUGUCAAGCUAGAGUGCAGGAGAGGAAGGUAGAAUUCCCGGUGUAGCGGUGAAAUGCGUAGAGAUCGGGAGGAAUACCAGUGGCGAAGGCGGCCUUCUGGACUGACACUGACACUG